rnacentral:lncRNA from 1 species
AUAAAAUAAGCCGGGUUUGAAUCUGAAAACUAUGUAAAGUAGCAUAAGAGAAACAAACUGCAAUCAUAAUAACAUUGAGAGGAAAAAGAAAGGAACUAAAUGGCAUAUAUAACGCCAACUAGGAUUUGUCAAGUCCUACUCUAAAAUAGCUCAAUUAUAUACUUUGUUGAUACUCCGACUUCAUUGAAAUCACCAUUAAACUUACACUAGUUCUGCACUAACACUAGAUAAUUUAAUAUCACAUAAUGCCAUUCUCUUCCAACUUCUAUGCUAUUUGCUAGCAGUGACACCAUUUGUAGAAAAGUGACUUCAAGGCAUUCUUGCACAUUUCGUGACCUACAGGAAAUGUGAGCAAAUGUUGGAAUAUUAAUUGAAAACUCUCCAUGAUUUUAGCAGUAAUUGAAAAAUUACAUGGAAAAUGCUAAUUGUUAUACUCUCAAACAUUUGUUGCUUUUCUUAUGCAAUUUUCCACUCAAAUUUUUCCUUUCCUUAUUGUCGCUUCGGAGUAAGCAAGACAUCAAAUAUUUUAUCUAAGCAAUCAACCACCACAAAACCUCAUCUUUCCAUGCAAUCUCAAGUAUCAUUUAAUUUAAAAAAGAAAAAAAGAACAAGAAGUAUCAUCAACAAGCAUGGGGAGAGUAGAAAAUAGGUGAAAACAUGAUUUUUCACAUACAAAACAUUCUGCAUAUAAAGUUUCAUUUCCCAUAAUGCAAGAUGAGUAAGAAUAUAAUGGUGAAAAGGAUUGGAGAACAAUGCAUACCCUGAUUUUUCUUGUCCGUUACCAUUGGUCAUCUUCACUUGUUUCCCAACGAACACAUUCCCUUGUUUUCCAAGGGUCAUAUGGUGUUUCCCGAAUGACACUAGAGAGUGACAGGAGACUCUCUCU